UACAAUCUUGUAGUCUCCACGAGAGCCGAUCGUCCGAUCCUCAGUCACCAUAACAACCGCUCUACCCCUCAAAACAAAAAGAGAAUUAAAAAAAAAAAAAAAAAAAAAAAAAAAAAAAAAAAAAAAAAAAAAAAAAAAAAAAAAAAAAAAAGAAGAAAAAACUCUCCCUCAAAAUACAGGCGCUGGCCGCCGAUGAUGCCGCCGGAAAGUUGACCUUGCCAUUCCUGGUAUCUUCGUCAAUUUCCAAACUGUAGGUAAAAAAAGUUAUGGGCAUUUUGUGGCUGUCAAAUUCGUUGAAGUAAAAAGCUGCAGAAUGUGUCAUUCUAUUUGAGAUGAAGGAGUAUUAAUUUCGUUCAGGCGUCCAGUCAGUGGAACAAUUGAAAUUCUGUCUGAAUGGCUUGGAUUAUUUACUCUUAAAGAUAAUAUGUUUUUGGUUUUGCUUAAUACUUGUACUCAGUGGUGAAAGUAGUAGUGUUGCUUUAGUUUUCCACUUUAAGCUCUAGUCCAUUUCUUAAAGCUGAAAUUGUCUUAGAGAUCAAUUUUAAUCCAUUUCUCAGUAACAAAAAUGUUGAUGAGAUACUAUGAUUUUGCUGAUAUCUUCUUUGUGAUGCGUCUCAUACUUAGAGGCUGUUUAGUUAAGCUUAUAAGCUGGUCAAACUAGCUUAUAACCACUUUUCGGCUUAUUUACGCGUUUGGUAAAGUUUAAAAAGCUUAUAAGUCAAGUGCUUAUAAGUCAUAAAUAAGUUAAAAGCCAUAAGCUGGUUACCCCCAACUUAUGAAUUUUUAGCUUAUAAGCACUUUAAGUUUGACCAAGAUUUUUACUAUUUUAUCCCUAAAAUAUUCCUUUUUAAAACAAAACUCCUACUACAUCGAUAUUCACUGUCUCAUAUUUCUUCAAACCUAAAUCCUCCGUCUCUUCAAGUCUGCAAUUCUCGUUGACAAUAUUUGAGGUAAGGAAAUUCUCUAUUCCUUUGCAUAUUUUGUAUCUAUGUGAUUGUGUAUUAAUCUUUGAACUGUAAGUAAUAAACAAGGACAUAUCAAUUUUUUGGUGUAUUGCUUUUUAAGUGUUGUAUUAAUCUCAAUGGACACUGGUGAUGAAGACAAGAGAUAAAUUAUUAUUAUUAUUAUUAUUAUAUAGCUUAUGAUUAUAUACUUAUCAAUAAAAUUAUACAUAUCAUAAAUUUAUCUUAUCUAAUCACAUUUGUAUUUAAAGUAAAAUAACAAAUAUAUUAUUUUGUAUUUGAAUCGAUCUAGAAUCUAAAAUUUUGAAGAAAUUACGCCCUUAUAGUGUAAACACUUCUAAGGUUAUUUAAGUCAUUUUAACAGAAAAAGAGAUUAUCAGCACUUUUUUACCAAACACUGCAGCAGCUUAUUACCAAACGCAUAACUACUUAUUUAUUAAAUCAGUUUCAGCACAUAAAAGUAUUUUUCAGCACCUAAUGCUUAUCAGCUACUUUAAAUCAGCUAAUCCAAACGGGCUCUUAGUCUUUGCAUCAAGUUAUAUAUAGUUUAUUUUGUUGGUUAAUGCUGAGAAAUUCUUGUCACACCGUCGUGAUAUCCCUC